GUAAUUUUCGUUAACAACUGCGGCCAAAAUAGUUGUAAGAUCUCGUUAAUGGUCCAUCUCUCCCUUCCAGGCACCCCCGCUCCUUCAGCUGCCGCCAAGAGUGAGGCUCCUCCGUCCCCUCCAUCCGCCCCAGGUCCAUCCGUAGUCCCAAGCAGUGGGGCCACCCCCUUCGCUUUUACAAGCCCUCCUCUCAAAGCCCCCGUCCCGGCUCCGAAUUCUUCUCUGCCUUAUCCGUUCCCGUCGGAGGCCUCAACAGCAGCUCCUGCGCCGAGCACAAGCCAGGCCACCGAGUUCUCUUCUCCCGCUACCCCGAAGGCACCCCAAGCUCCCGUCUCCUCGUCCGGCCUCAUCCCGGUUUCCGCUCCAUCUUUCUCCUUCGGGCCGGCAAGCUUCAAGAGCCGCGUCGACGGGCCUGUUCCUUCCGUCGCCACAAAGGCCAGCUUUGCUCCAGCAGCGUCCUCCGUCAAGGUCAACCUCAACGAAAAGUUCGCGGCUGCCGAGUCUGCUGCCCCUCCCACCAACACCGGCCAAGGUUCUUCGCCCUUCCUCUUUCCCCCGGCUGCAAAGUCUACCCCUGCAGGAUCCCUAAGCGUGUCCACGCCGCCUCCUCCUCCCGCCCCCAUAAAGGCUUCUACCCCGGUGACUUCAGCAAUGCGUCCACCUCAAAGCGCUCCGGCCACCUCGGGCCUUCAGAAAGCUGCCAAGGUAUCCCCCGUGGCUCCAAAAUCGAGCCCUUCGCAGGUAAGAAGGAAUUGGAUCGCUUUUCCGUGAAUUGAACCCUUCCGUAGUUUAGUUUGGUUUAGUUUAUAGUCGUUGCACCUCAUACAACGAAAUCAAACACCGUCUUCAGCGCACAUCAUGACCAUGCAAAUAAACGCACCCUU
rnacentral:lncRNA from 1 species